rnacentral:rRNA from 1 species
GAUGAACGCUGGCGGCGUGCCUAAUACAUGCGAGUCGAGCGAACAGAUGAGGAGCUUGCUCCUCUGACGUUAGCGGCGGACGGGUGAGUAACACGUGGAUAACCUACCUAUAAGACUGGGAUAACUUCGGGAAACCGGAGCUAAUACCGGAUAAUAUAUUGAACCGCAUGGUUCAAUAGUGAAAGACGGUUUUGCUGUCACUUAUAGAUGGAUCCGCGCCGCAUUAGCUAGUUGGUAAGGUAACGGCUUACCAAGGCAACGAUGCGUAGCCGACCUGAGAGGGUGAUCGGCCACACUGGAACUGAGACACGGUCCAGACUCCUACGGGAGGCAGCAGUAGGGAAUCUUCCGCAAUGGGCGAAAGCUUGACGGAGCAACGCCGCGUGAGUGAUGAAGGUCUUCAGAUCGUAAAACUCUGUUAUUAGGGAAGAACAAAUGUGUAAGUAACUAUGCACGUCUUGACGGUACCUAAUCAGAAAGCCACGGCUAACUACGUG